UACGUAGGGGGCAAGCGUUGUCCGGAUUUAUUGGGCGUAAAGAGCGUGUAGGCGGCUUUGCAAGUCCGUUGUGAAAACUCGAGGCUCAACCUCGAGACGCCGGUGGAAACUGCAAAGCUAGAGUCCGGAAGAGGAGAGUGGAAUUCCUGGUGUAGCGGUGAAAUGCGCAGAUAUCAGGAAGAACACCCGUGGCGAAGGCGGCUCUCUGGGACGGUACUGACGCUGGGACGCGAAAGCGUGGGGAGCGAACAGG
rnacentral:rRNA from 1 species